rnacentral:snRNA from 1 species
GCAUGUGGACAGCUGAAGUAGAAGGCUGACCGUGAUUCCAUGGUCACAGCUGCAUAUGCAUUCUUCCCGAAGCAGUGUGCAUAAGGAGCAUGACCUUCCCAGAAUAGAGGACCAGUCUUCACUCAUGGGUAUAUGAGUAGCUUCUCUCCCCUACUAGAACUUCCAAACAGGCUCUCAAGAGCAAAGAUCUCUGGCAUAUGAGGACCUUGGUAUGCACAAAGGCAAGAUAAUUGAAGGGUGAUAUUACAUU